GGUGGAGAAUUCUGUCUAACCUGAAAGCCUACAGACUAUGACACAAAGAGAUAUGGGGGUGGUGGUCAUUGCUCGUGUGUGAAGCGGUUGACUUUGCAUGAAGAAGGCCUAGGUUCAAUUCUGAGCAUGCCUAGAUUUGUUUAAACUAAUCAUAAUCAGAUUAGUAGGUUAUGUGAAGAGGGACUGCUAGGUCCAUCUGUUUCCAAAAUGUCACUUUUGUAUCCAUUAGUCCAUUUCACCUUAUUAACAUGCAUUUUUAAAGCCCAUUGAAAAUUCAUAUUUAAAUACAUAUUUUAUUACAAAAUAGGUACCCAUAUUUUCCGGCGUAUAAGACAACUGGGCGUAUAAGACGACCCCCCAACUUUUCCAGUUAAAAUAUAGAGUUUGGGAUAUACUUGCUGUAUAAGACUACCCCUUUCCAACGCACACCAAAUAAAAAUUAAAAAAACCAGUCUCCAGUCCGGCUCGGAAAUCCACUCCACUUCCCAGUGGCCGGGGGCUUCUGGGGCCAAUUUUCAAGCAUAUUUCUGCUUCAUCUAGAGAGCUUGGUGUCCUCUGAUUUAAUUUGCUGUCGUUUUAUCUUUUGGUGGGGAGUUGCUGCAGGAGCUGCUGCUGUAGCCAGCGUAUAAGACGACCCCCGACUUUUGAGAAGAUUUUCCUGGGUUUAAAAAGUAGUCUUAUACGCCAGAAAAUACAGUAUUUUAAAAUAGAUUUUGUCUCAAGGUACACUUUAAAAAAAAAAAAGUGUUAUGUUAUAUACAAAUAUGCAGUUUGGUACUUUUUAAAGCUAAGAACUCUAUUGCAAAUUUGAGAGAAGGGAGAAAUCUGAAGGACAAAGAUGCCCUGAUCUACACAUUAGUCCAGGAUGUGCACAUCUGGUCAGUCUGCGUUAGGAGCCGUGGAAACUGAACUCCUCAAGAAACUUUAGAUGUGAACAAUCCUUUGGCUGAGAUCCUGGGAAAUCAUAUUCAGCUAGAGAAAGCAAUAGUCAGUUAGAUGGACUAUUUGUCUUGGUACAAACAGAAUCUUUUGAUAGCUCAGUUGGGUAGAGCGUGGUGCUGAUAAUGCCAAGGUCACAGGUUCGAAUCCCAUAUGGGACAGCUGCAUAUUCCUGCAUUGCAGGGGGUUGGACUAGAUGAUCCUCAAGGUCCCUUCCAACUCUGCAAUUCUAUAGGGGGGGAAAUAAGGUGUGCCCUCUUCAUCAUGUCCAAGUGGCAACAAGAGGGCUGGAAUUCCCAUCUCAGAAAACGCCAUUUGGCACCCCAUGUGUUGUCUUUCAGGUGCAUUUCUGUUCUCUCAGGCAUUUUAAACUAAGUGCAGUUUUCAGAACUGAUGAGAAAGGACGCUUUAUUUUAAAUAUGGGAAGUGAGGCAUCCUAGAUCUGGAGGCUAGAAAAUGGGGAGCAAUAGAGGCUAAAGGUGCCACCAACCCAAGCAUGCCCCCAGCCAGCCCUCACCUGACUGUCAGCUUCUUCCUCUUGCUCCUCCUCCAUUUUAGUGUUGCCUUUGUAAAACUCAGCACAGAGAAGGAGGAGGGGGGGAAACUAAGGGCUUAUCCACAUAUACCUUUCACCUCGGUCUUUCCAGACAGAGGUAUGUGCUUUAACACUCCCAUGUCUGAGCUCUUCCCCUCCAGAGCUUUCCCCAUGAAAAUCCACUCUUUAAAGCUGGAUCGGAGCAAAUGCCCAUAUAGGUUUUCUGUGGAUUGACCUUUGCUCUGAUUGAGCUUUAAAGAGCAGGUUUUUGCAGGGAAAGCUCCUGAGCAAUGCAAUGC
rnacentral:lncRNA from 1 species